rnacentral:rRNA from 1 species
AUGCCGGACAUGGAGGAGUCCACGCAGCCCAAGCCCGCCGACCCGGAGCUCCCUAACGGCGCCGGGGACCCGGACCAGCCGUCGCCCGCUGCCGCGGAGGCGCCGGCGGCAGAGGAGGUGGCGGCUGCAGAGGAGGUCCCGGCGAGAUCGGAGCCUCCCAAGGGCGCGGGGACCAACGCGGACGGCUGGCGCCCCUACACCAUGGGGGAGCUGCUAGGGGAGGCCGCCGCCGCCGGGAGAUCCGACUUCGCCGCCGACGGGAAUGGGGCCGGAUCCGCCACCCCCGAGCGCUCCAGCCAGGACAGCCUGCAACUCUCAACCCAUCAUGAUGUUGCCAUGGACUUGAUAAAUAGUGUCACUGGAGUUGAUGAGGAAGGUCGCUCUCGCCAACGUAUUCUUACCUUUGCAGCGAAAAGAUAUAUUAGCGCCAUUGAAAGAAAUCCAGAAGACCCUGAUGCAUAUUAUAACUGGGCCCUAGUUCUCCAGGAAAGUGCUGACAACGUGGAUCCUAAUUCUGAUUCUUCGAAAGAUUCAUUGCUUGAGGAGGCUUGCAAGAAGUAUGCUGAAGCUACACGACUUUGCCCAACACUGUAUGAUGCAUAUUACAACUGGGCUAUUGCUAUAGCUGAUCGGGCCAAAAUGCGUGGGCGUACCAAAGAGGCUGAAGAACUCUGGCAGCAGGCUAUAAGGAACUACGACAAGGCAGUCCAGUUAAGUUGGAACAGUCCCCAGGCUCUCAAUAACUGGGGCCUUGGACUACAGGAAUUGAGCGCGAUUGUUCCUGCUAAAGACAAGCAAACAAUCAUAAAAACAGCUAUAAGUAAGUUUCGUUCUGCCAUCCAGUUGCAGUUCGACUUCCACCGGGCUAUUUACAACCUUGGAACUGUCCUGUAUGGCUUGGCAGAGGAUACCUCGAGGUCUGGAGGGGCCGAUACCUCUCCUAAUGACCUGUAUAGUCAGUCUGCUAUUUACGUUGCAGCUGCUCAUGCAUUGAAGCCAAAUUAUUCGGUUUAUCGCAGUGCUCUACGGUUGGUCCGCUCAAUGCUACCGUUGCCAUAUUUGAAAGUGGGAUAUUUGACUGCUCCUCCGGCAGACGACCCCAUUGCACCACACAAACAUUGGGAGAGGUCACAGUUCAUCUUAAACCAUACGGAACUCCAGCAGGUCAAUGAUUCCGAAAGCGCACCUGUGAAAGUAAACGCGCUCGUGGAGAAAGCCAAAAGGUUUAUCAAGGUAGACGUCGCUGACAUAGUUUCAGUGUCCACAUGCUCCGAUCUGACCCUGCCCCCUGGUGCCGGCCUUUGUAUAAACACAACGCAUGGGCCCGUGUUCUUGGUUGCUGAUACCUGGGAGUCUCUCGACGGCUGGCUGGACGCCAUACGGCUGGUGUACACCAUAUUCGCAAGAGGGAAGAGCGAUGUCCUGGCGGGCAUCGUCACCGGCUGA